rnacentral:pre_miRNA from 1 species
AAGACAUUCGGACCGUCAAUUUACAGAGCAAUGUCACUCGCUCGAUGGAACACCUUCCCCUUGUCAU